GAGAUUGAUCCUGGCUUAGGACGAACGCUGGCGGCGUGCUUAACACAUGCAAGUCGAACGAAAAGACGGAAAGAGCUUGCUCUUUCCGGAAUUGAGUGGCAAACGGGUGAGUAACACGUAAACAACCUGCCUUCAGGAUGGGGACAACAGACGGAAACGACUGCUAAUACCGAAUAAGUUCCAAGAGCCGCAUGGCCCAUGGAAGAAAAGGUGGCCUCUACCUGUAAGCUAUCGCCUGAAGAGGGGUUUGCGUCUGAUUAGCUGGUUGGAGGGGUAACGGCCCACCAAGGCGACGAUCAGUAGCCGGUCUGAGAGGAUGAACGGCCACACUGGAACUGAGACACGGUCCAGACUCCUACGGGAGGCAGCAGUGGGGAAUCUUCCGCAAUGGGCGAAAGCCUGACGGAGCAACGCCGCGUGAGUGAUGACGGCCUUCGGGUUGUAAAACUCUGUGAUCCGGGACGAAAAGGCAGAGUGCGAAGAACAAACUGCAUUGACGGUACCGGAAAAGCAAGCCACGGCUAACUACGUGCCAGCCGCCGCGGUAAUUC
rnacentral:rRNA from 1 species